GUUGGGUGUGGUGGUGCUCGCCUGUAAUCCCAUAGACCCGGGAGGCUGAGGCAGGAGAACUGUGAUUUCACAGCCAGUCUCAGCAACUUAGUGAGGCAUUAGGCAAGACCUAACACAGGAAGACCCUGUCUCUA
rnacentral:sRNA from 1 species